rnacentral:rRNA from 1 species
GACGAACGCUGGCGGCGUGCUUAACACAUGCAAGUUGAACGGGCAUACAUGGAAGCUUGCUGAAGUGUAUGUUAGUAGCGGACGGGUGAGUAAUGCAUGAGGACCUGCCUACCGGAGGGGGACAACAGUUGGAAACGGCUGCUAAUACCCCGUAUGCCGAGAGGUGAAAGGAAUGGAGACAUUCCGCCGGGAGAGGGACUCAUGUCCUAUCAGCUAGUUGGUGAGGUAACGGCUCACCAAGGCGACGACGGGUAGCCGGCCUGAGAGGGCGACCGGCCACACUGGAACUGAGAGACGGUCCAGACUCCUACGGGAGGCAGCAGUGGGGAAUAUUGGGCAAUGGGGGCAACCCUGACCCAGCGACGCCGCGUGAACGAAGAAGGCCGUGAGGUUGUAAAGUUCUUUUCGGGAGGGGGAACAACCGUGGCAGGGAAUGGCCGCGGGAUGACGUGAAUCCCGGAAUAAGCCCCGGCUAACUACGUG